rnacentral:rRNA from 1 species
AAGGCGAGGCCGAAAGGCGUAGUCGAUGGGAAACGGGUUAAUAUUCCCGUACUUGGUGUUACUGCGAAGGGGGGACGGAGAAGGCUAUGUUGGCCGGGCGACGGUUGUCCCGGUUUAAGCGUGUAGGCUGGUUUUCCAGGCAAAUCCGGAAAAUCAAGGCUGAGGCGUAACGACGAGGCACUACGGUGCUGAAGCAACAAAUGCCCUGCUUCCAGGAAAAGCCUCUAAGCAUCAGGUAACAUCAAAUCGUACCCCAAACCGACACAGGUGGUCAGGUAGAGAAUACCAAGGCGCUUGAGAGAACUCGGGUGAAGGAACUAGGCAAAAUGGUGCCGUAACUUCGGGAGAAGGCACGCUGACACGUAGGUGAAGUGAUU